GGUGUCAUGGGGGGGCUCCUGGGGGACUCCUUCUACCCACAGGACGCUUCUACACAGGCCUCCUCCAUCCCCAGGUGGCAGUUGGAUAAGUUCUUGGAUCUGCUUCCGUAUCAAACGUGUUCGAGGACGUACCGGACCGUCCCCGUGGACCUGCUGAGCCCGCUGCUGUCGGAC